rnacentral:rRNA from 1 species
GAUGAACGCUGGCGGCGUGCCUAAUACAUGCAAGUCGAGCGAACAGAUAAGGAGCUUGCUCCUUUGACGUUAGCGGCGGACGGGUGAGUAACACGUGGAUAACCUACCUAUAAGACUGGGAUAACUUCGGGAAACCGGAGCUAAUACCGGAUAAGAUUUUGAACCGCAUGGUUCAAUAGUGAAAGACGGCCUUGCUGUCACUUAUAGAUGGAUCCGCGUCGUAUUAGCUAGUUGGUAAGGUAACGGCUUACCAAGGCAACGAUACGUAGCCGACCUGAGAGGAUGAUCGGCCACACUGGAACUGAGACACGGUCCAGACUCCUACGGGAGGCAGCAGUAGGGAAUCUUCCGCAAUGGGCGAAAGCCUGACGGAGCAACGCCGCGUGAGUGAUGAAGGUCUUCGGAUCGUAAAACUCUGUUAUCAGGGAAGAACAAACGUGUAAGUAACUGUGGACGUCUUGACGGUACCUGAUCAGAAAGCCACGGCUAACUACGUG